rnacentral:rRNA from 2 species
GAAACCUCUUUCAGCGCCGACGAAGCGAGAGUGACGGUAGGCGCAGAAGAAGCACCGGCCAACUACGUGCCAGCAGCCGCGGUAAUACGUAGGGUGCGAGCGUUGUCCGGAAUUACUGGGCGUAAAGCGUGCGCAGGCGGUUCGGCAAGAAGGAUGUGAAAUCCCAGGGCUUAACCUUGGAACUGCAUUCUUAACUGCCGGGCUAGAGUAUGUCAGAGGGGGGUAGAAUUCCACGUGUAGCAGUGAAAUGCGUAGAGAUGUGGAGGAAUACCGAUGGCGAAGGCAGCCCCCUGGGAUGAUACUGACGCUCAUGCACGAAAGCGUGGGGAGCAAACAGGAUUAGAUACCCUGGUAGUCCACGCCCUAAACGAUGUCAACUAGCUGUUGGGGCCUUCGGGCUUCAGUAGCGCAGCUAACGCGUGAAGUUGACCGCCUGGGGAGUACGGUCGCAAGAUUAAAACUCAAAGGAAUUGACGGGGACCCGCACAAGCGGUGGAUGAUGUGGAUUAAUUCGAUGCAACGCGAAAAACCUUACCUACCCUUGACAUGUCUGGAAUGCCGAAGAGAUUUGGCAGUGCUCGCAAGAGAACCGGAACACAGGUGCUGCAUGGCUGUCGUCA